CACCACUUACAACUUAGAAGCUAUUAAAACAGAAACUAACUCAAAAAAUGGUUGCCAUGGAGAUGUGUGACCAUUGUUGCAUGUUUCGUCAAACUAUAGCUCAUUUAUGCGACGGUGUAUAUUUCAGCUGUUGUAUCGAUUGUGGGAAGGUUCUAAGUGAGUCUACAAGUUUGAAGACAGAUAUAAGUGAUGUAAUCAUGGAGACAAGAAGAAAGACCAUUGGUGUGAAAAAAACUAAAAAGAAAAUAACAUGACACGAGCACCCAUUUCUUGAUAAAUGAUAUCUACUAUAUUGGAGAAGCAUAGUUCUUGUGGCUUUCAUUUGAUUUAGAUUUGCUUGACAUUAUUUAGAGUGGUGAUUGUUCCUAAACUAUUUUCAAUAAGUAGUUUCAACUUGUAAUACUACUCUUAAUAACUAUUCUUUGGUGUAAUAAUCAAUUAUUCUACUCUUAAUUAUGUUUUCAUGAUACAAGUCUACCUUCAAUUUUAUAAACCAAUGGUGAAUACUACCAAGAAAUCU